AUUGAACGCUGGCGGCAUGCCUUACACAUGCAAGUCGAACGGUAACGCGGGGCAACCUGGCGACGAGUGGCGAACGGGUGAGUAAAGCAUCGGAACGUGCCCAGUAGUGGGGGAUAGCCCGGCGAAAGCCGGAUUAAUACCGCAUACGACCUACGGGUGAAAGGGGGGGAUCGCAAGACCUCUCGCUAUUGGAGCGGCCGAUGUCAGAUUAGGUAGUUGGUGGGGUAAAGGCCUACCAAGCCUGCGAUCUGUAGCUGGUCUGAGAGGACGACCAGCCACACUGGGACUGAGACACGGCCCAGACUCCUACGGGAGGCAGCAGUGGGGAAUUUUGGACAAUGGGCGCAAGCCUGAUCCAGCCAUGCCGCGUGCGGGAAGGAGGCCUUCGGGUUGUAAACCGCUUUUGUCAGGGAAGAAAAGCCUUGGGUUAAUACCCUGGGGUGAUGACGGUACCUGAAGAAUAAGCACCGGCUAACUACGUGCCAGCAGCCGCGGUAA
rnacentral:rRNA from 1 species